UUCCGGUAUUGGCCCUUCUUUCGGCUUUACCGACGUCCCUCCCUGACGCUUAAAGAUCGCUGAUAGUAUAGGUUUCGCCGGCGACGGCGGUGGAAAUGGCCACUUGAAUUUCCUUCUCGGCGUUCCAACCGGAGAUGGCGAUGGAGCUAUUCCAGCAGGAUACGGGCUCUGAAACGGACUGGCUGUAAAUGAGUGAGCUGGCGUACUGUUGUUGGUGUAACUCAUCCCAUUCCCGACUGAUUGACGUACCGGUGAAGGUGGUGGUUUAGGGCGAUUGUUGGUAGAUACCGCAGAGUUUCCAUCUCCGAUAGCAACAACGCUACCACCAUUUUCACCAGAAACACCCUUACUGCAACACUGCCCCAUCGAGAAAAACUCCGAUCACCGCCAGUCAAAGUCCACUCAUGCGACGGUCAACAAAACCAAAAAGUAGAAAACAAUCACCGGAGAAACGCGUCUUCAAUAGAAAAUGAAAAAUCUACACCCCAG
rnacentral:misc_RNA from 1 species